GACUGCAAGAAGAGCAGAAGCUACGGGC
rnacentral:sRNA from 1 species